UUGCUAUCUGCGAUAUGGAAGAUUCGAACCUGCCGCAGGUGUGGGUCUCACGUAGUGAGACAACGGAGCCGCUUGCGGCGACGGCCCGAAGGGCGAGCAAAGCGAGUCAUCCUGCACGACCCACCA
rnacentral:sRNA from 2 species